UCGCUCCAAUCACAGGCCGCCCUCCCCCAGGCGAGGGUGCCUUUGAUUCGCUUCAGGGCUCGACAAUAGUGUGGCUGCAAAACGCAGCCCUGGGACGGUUCGGCAUUGACCGAGGCAGACUGUGGACGCAGAGCCAGGGGGUGUAGCACUGUCGCUUGCUGCGACGCCACUGCGGCAGUGGGCGCUCAAUAGAAAGCACCAAUGCUUCAACUUUUCAGCUGCACUCAGGCGCGCCACAGACCCGGGUUCGUUCCUUAGCCCCGGCAAGGAAGUGUUUAAAAAGAGACUCAUUUUUACCAGCUCUUCCUUGCCAUCAAUCUUAAGAAACCUGGACUCUUGAGAGGAGCAAAAGGAGUCACAUCUUUGCCAAGAGACGUUUUCAUCGGAAAAGAGGUAAGAGGCUUGUCCCUGAUGUAUCCACCUCUCUGGACAAGGGUUGCUUUUAUGUCCUCAAAAAACCAAACACAUGCCAUUACCCUAUUGCAUCUCUACAUAAAUG
rnacentral:lncRNA from 1 species